GUCUACGGCCAUACCAUCCUGAACGUGCCCGAUCUCAUCUGAUCUCGGAAGAAUCAAAUUGCUUUCAAAUUUUGGAGAGUAAACUUUAACAAAUGUUAGCU
rnacentral:rRNA from 14 species